CUCUUUACCGCCAAUAGCCACAUCAGUCUAAACUGCAAAUUGAAGAGUCUUGGGCAGAAUGGCACAGAAAAAGGGCAUGUUCGUGUUGUGAUGGCUGGCGCACCACAAGUGGCAGCCACACAGGGACCUGAGUAUCGAGGGAUCCAGUGAAGGACACCGCAGAGAAGAAUGAGGCCUCAACAAAAAGGGGAAACCAAUGUACCGAGCACUCUUAUCAAGCCAGGAAUUUAUUUUAUAACCUGACAAGGAAAAACUCAGCCAAUAAGAUUCCUCUGCCUUUGUGAUGGUGAUCAGGAAGGCACCUACCUUCAUGGACCUCUUCUUACCAUGCCCCAGGUGAUGAAGACUGCAGGAAGGAAUGCCUCUGGCUUUGGUUAUUUAAUGAAAAGAAGGGACAACGUAACCAGAAAAGAAGGUCUUGUGUAAAGAAAUAUCAAGCUGAAAGGGAAUGGGAUCUACAAUCAGAUUCAUCCCAUUGGUUCCCUCUUCUCUCCUGUCUUCUCAGAUGCAUGUGGCUUCUACCCACAAUAUUCAGCUCCUACAUAUGUUGUAUUUUGAAGAUUUUGAGCUCUCCUUUUGAUAAAUUGACAGAAGUUGGGAUUUUGAAAUAGAGUUCUUAUUGGAAAUUCUCAGAGAAAUGGUAAAGAAAGAGGCAGGCUAAAAAAGUAAGCAUAUUCACCUUC